AUUGAACGCUGGCGGCAUGCCUUACACAUGCAAGUCGAACGGCAGCACGGGAGCAAUCCUGGUGGCGAGUGGCGAACGGGUGAGUAAUAUAUCGGAACGUGCCCAGUCGUGGGGGAUAACGUAGCGAAAGCUACGCUAAUACCGCAUACGAUCUACGGAUGAAAGCGGGGGAUCGCAAGACCUCGCGCGAUUGGAGCGGCCGAUAUCAGAUUAGCUAGUUGGUGGGGUAAAAGCUCACCAAGGCGACGAUCUGUAGCUGGUCUGAGAGGACGACCAGCCACACUGGAACUGAGACACGGUCCAGACUCCUACGGGAGGCAGCAGUGGGGAAUUUUGGACAAUGGGCGCAAGCCUGAUCCAGCAAUGCCGCGUGCAGGAUGAAGGCCUCGGUUGUAACUGCUUUGUACGUAACGAAAGAACUACUUCUAUAAAAGGUCCGAUGACGGUACCGUAAGAAUAAGACACCGGCUAACUAACGUGCC
rnacentral:rRNA from 1 species